CAGUCGAGCGGUAGCACAGAGGAGCUUGCUCCUUGGGUGACGAGCGGCGGACGGGUGAGUAAUGUCUGGGAAACUGCCUGAUGGAGGGGGAUAACUACUGGAAACGGUAGCUAAUACCGCAUAACCUCGCAAGAGCAAAGAGGGGGACCUUAGGGCCUCUCGCCAUCAGAUGUGCCCAGAUGGGAUUAGCUAGUAGGUGAGGUAAUGGCUCACCUAGGCGACGAUCCCUAGCUGGUCUGAGAGGAUGACCAGCCACACUGGAACUGAGACACGGUCCAGACUCCUACGGGAGGCAGCAGUGGGGAAUAUUGCACAAUGGGCGCAAGCCUGAUGCAGCCAUGCCGCGUGUGUGAAGAAGGCCUUCGGGUUGUAAAGCACUUUCAGCGAGGAGGAAGGCGGUAAGGUUAAUAACCUUAUCGAUUGACGUUACUCGCAGAAGAAGCACCGGCUAACUCCGUGCCAGCAGCCGCGGUAAUACGGAGGGUGCAAGCGUUAAUCGGAAUGACUGGGCGUAAAGCGCACGCAGGCGGUCUGUUAAGUUGGAUGUGAAAUCCCCGGGCUUAACCUGGGAACUGCAUUCAAAACUGACAGGCUAGAGUCUUGUAGAGGGGGGUAGAAUUCCAGGUGUAGCGGUGAAAUGCGUAGAGA
rnacentral:rRNA from 1 species